CCUCCUCUUCUUGGCGGGGGUUAGGCUUGAGGUCCUGGUCCUUGUAGUGUAUGGAGGCAGAGGGAAAGGGUUUCUGCUCAGCGCCCCGUCUUCGGUGCUGACAGUUUCCAGUCCGCCGGUUCUAUCCUCAGGCGCCGGGACACUG